UUGCUGGCUGGAACAGCACAUAUGCUUCAUUUAGAACUAUAUAGAGAAGAUUAACAUGAUCCCCGUGCAAUGAUGUCAUGCAAAUUUACAAAGUCUUCCAUAUUUCU